rnacentral:rRNA from 1 species
UCCCGCGUGAAGGACGACGGCCCUAUGGGUUGUAAACUUCUUUUGUAUAGGGAUAAACCUACNCUCGUGAGGGUAGCUGAAGGUACUAUACNAAUAAGCACCGGCUAACUCCGUGCCAGCAGCCGCGGUAAUACGGAGGGUGCNNGCGUUAUCCGGAUUUAUUGGGUUUAAAGGGUCCGUAGGNGGAUCUGUAAGUCAGUGGUGAAAUCUCACAGCUUAACUGUGAAACUGCCAUUGAUACUGCAGGUCUUGAGUGUUGUUGAAGUAGCUGGAAUAAGUAGUGUAGCGGUGAAAUGCAUAGAUAUUACUUAGAACACCAAUUGCGAAGGCAGGUUACUAAGCAACAACUGACGCUGAUGGACGAAAGCGUGGGGAGCGAACAGGAUUAGAUACCCUGGUAGUCCACGCCGUAAACGAUGCUAACUCGUUUUUGGGAUUUCGGUUUCAGAGACUAAGCGAAAGUGAUAAGUUAGCCACCUGGGGAGUACGAACGCAAGUUUGAAACUCAAAGGAAUUGACGGGGGCCCGCACAAGCGGUGGAUUAUGUGGUUUAAUUCGAUGAUACGCGAGGAACCUUACCAAGGCUUAAAUGGGAAAUGACAUGCUUAGAAAUAGGCUUUUCUUCGGACAUUUUUCAAGGUGCUGCAUGGUUGUCGUCAGCUCGUGCCGUGAGGUGUUAGGUUAAGUCCUGCAACGAGCGCAACCCCUGUCACUAGUUGCCAUCAUUAAGUUGGGGACUCUAGUGAGACUGCCUACGCAAGUAGAGAGGAAGGUGGGGAUGACGUCAAAUCAUCACGGCCCUUACGCCUUGNGNCCACACACGUAAUACAAUGGCCGGUACAGAGGGCAGCUACACAGCGAUGUGAUGCAAAUCUCGAAAGCCGGUCUCAGUUCGGAUUGGAGUCUGCAACUCGACUCUAUGAAGCUGGAAUCGCUAGUAAUCGCGCAUCAGCCANGGCGCGGUGAAUACGUUCCCGGGCCUUGUACACACCGCCCGUCAAGCCAUGGAAGUCUGGGGUACCUGAAGUCGGUGACCGUAACAGGAGCUG